GAUAAACGCUGGCGGCGUGCUUAACACAUGCAAGUCGAACGAAGUUUUUCCUUCGGGAGAAUCUUAGUGGCGGACGGGUGAGUAACGCGUGGGUAACCUGCCCUGUACAGGGGGACAACAGCUGUAAACGGCUGCUAAUACCGCAUAAGCCCUUAGCACUGCAUGGUGCAUAGGGAAAAGGAGCAAUCUGGAACAGGAUGGACCCGCGUCUGAUCAGCCAGUUGGCAGGGUAACGGCCUACCAAAGCGACGAUCAGUAGCCGAUCUGGGAGGGUGUACGGCCACAUUGGAACUGAGACACGCCCCAGACUCCGGCGGGAGGCAGCAGUGUGGAAUAUUGCACAAUAGAGGAAACUCGGAUGCAGCGGCGCCGCGUGAGUGAAGAAGUAUUUCGGUAUGUAAGGCUCUAGCAGCAGGGAAGAAAAGGACGGUACCAGACUAGGAAGCACCGGCUAAAUACGU
rnacentral:rRNA from 1 species